UACGUAGGGGCCUAGCGUUGUCCGGAAUUAUUGGGCGUAAAGGGUGCGUAGGUGGCGCUGUAAGUCGGGUGUGAAAUUUCGGAGCUUAACUCCGAAACUGCAUUCGAUACUGCGGUGCUUGAGGACUGGAGAGGAGACUGGAAUUCAUGGUGUAGCAGUGAAAUGCGUAGAGAUCAUGAGGAAGACCAGUGGCGAAGGCGGGUCUCUGGACAGUUCCUGACACUGAGGCACGAAGGCCAGGGGAGCAAACGGG
rnacentral:rRNA from 1 species